AAUAUAGGAAUGGUUGCUAGCUGAAAGAUGACAUUCUGGUAAAAGAACUGUUUCACAAGCUUAACUAUACAUUAUCCACUGAAAAAUGUUAUUUUAUUAGUAUGAUUAAUUGAUUAAUUAAAAACCUGUCUUACUUGUUUUUGACCAUUAAGGUUGCAAGAUUGGCUAAUUUCCCAGAAGACUUGGUCUUAAAAAUGGUGAAGGAGAAGAAGAUUCCUAAUUUCCUAUCUCCUCACCAAUAAUCUUAAUUAUUUUACCUGCUGGAAAGACA